rnacentral:rRNA from 1 species
UACGGGGGGGGGCAAACGUUGUUCGGAAUUACUGGGCGUAAAGGGCUUGUAGGUGGCCAACUAAGUCAAACGUGAAAUCCCUCGGCUUAACCGGGGAACUGCGUCUGAUACUGGAUGGCUUGAGUGUGGGAGAGGGAUGCGGAAUUCCAGGUGUAGCGGUGAAAUGCGUAGAUAUCUGGAGGAACACCGGUGGCGAAGGCGGCAUCCUGGACCAUUACUGACACUGAAAAGCGAAAGCCAGGGGAGCAAACGGG